rnacentral:rRNA from 1 species
GAUGAACGCUGGCGGCGUGCCUAAUACAUGCAAGUCGAGCGAACAGACGAGGAGCUUGCUCCUCUGACGUUAGCGGCGGACGGGUGAGUAACACGUGGAUAACCUACCUAUAAGACUGGGAUAACUUCGGGAAACCGGAGCUAAUACCGGAUAAUAUAUUGAAGCGCAUGGUUCAAUAGUGAAAGACGGUUUUGCUGUCACUUAUAGAUGGAUCCGCGCCGCAUUAGCUAGUUGGUAAGGUAACGGCUUACCAAGGCGACGAUGCGUAGCCGACCUGAGAGGGUGAUCGGCCACACUGGAACUGAGACACGGUCCAGACUCCUACGGGAGGCAGCAGUAGGGAAUCUUCCGCAAUGGGCGAAAGCCUGACGGAGCAACGCCGCGUGAGUGAUGAAGGUCUUCGGAUCGUAAAACUCUGUUAUUAGGGAAGAACAAAUGUGUAAGUAACUAUGCACGUCUUGACGGUACCUAAUCAGAAAGCCACGGCUAACUACGUG